rnacentral:ncRNA from 1 species
UUAUGGUUCUGAGUAAACCCAUGCUCGGAUGAAAAGGGAACACGGUGAGGAGUAGCCAAUUGGCGCCGAAUCCGCGACUGCCCCCGCAACUGUGAGCGGUGAGCGAUGCCGACGAAUGCCACUGAGACGCUGUCUCGGGAAGGCUGGCAAAGCAAUGACCCGCGAGUCAGGAGACCUGCCCUAAGUGG